rnacentral:rRNA from 1 species
CCUACGGGAGGCAGCAGUGGGGAAUAUUGCACAAUGGGGGAAACCCUGAUGCAGCGACGCCGCGUGAAGGAAGAAGGAUUUCGGUAUGUAAACUUCUAUCAGCAGGGAAGAAAGUGACGGUACCUGACUAAGAAGCCCCGGCUAACUACGUGCCAGCAGCCGCGGUAAGACGUAGGGGGCAAGCGUUAUCCGGAUUUACUGGGUGUAAAGGGAGCGUAGGCGGCGAUGCAAGUCAGCAGUGAAAGCACGGGGCUCAACUCCGGGACUGCUUUUGAAACUGUAUGGCUAGAUUGCAGGAGAGGCAAGUGGAAUGCCUGGUGUAGCGGUGAAAUGCGUAGAUAUUACGCAGAACACCGGUUGCGAAGGCGGCUUGCUGGACUGUAAAUGACGCUGAGGCUCGAAAGCGUGGGGAGCAAACAGGAUUAGAUACCCCAGUAGUC